rnacentral:rRNA from 1 species
GAAGAGAGAGUUCAAGAGUACGUGAAACCGUCUGGGAGUAAACGGGUGGUUCCCGAAAGUGCGAAAGGGGAGAUUCAGGUCUCGCCGCGCGCCGGGCCGCGCCCGCGAUGAAGGGAUGGCGUUUCCGCNGCCGUGGGGNGACCCUCGGUCCGGANNNNGCGCCACCCCGNGGGCNCGGUCUCUCCCNGCNCCGGACUGACNCACUUCUCCCCCGGUAGAACGUCUCGAUCCGUCGGUCGCNGACCUAAGGCCCCUGGUGGAGCCUGCGCGGUUCGCCGCGCACGACCCAGGGGAUCCCGGCCGNGUGNCCGACGGUACGAAGAGAGGAAGGAGUCNGCGCGCCUGCCUCACGC